CACGUAGGGGGCAAGCGUUGUCCGGAUUUAUUGGGCGUAAAGAGCUCGUAGGUGGUUCGGUAAGUCGGGUGUUAAACCCCCAGGCUCAACCUGGAGACGCCACUUGAUACUGCUAUGGCUUGAGUUCGGUAGGGGACCAUGGAAUUCCUGGUGUAGCGGUGAAAUGCGCAGAUAUCAGGAGGAACACCGAUGGCGAAGGCAGUGGUCUGGGCCGAUACUGACGCUGAGGAGCGAAAGCGUGGGGAGCGAACAGG
rnacentral:rRNA from 1 species